CUGCCAACAAUACCAAGCCAAGGGCCACUUAUUAUUAUUAUAAUUAUUAUAUUAUUGUUGCUUUUGUUAAAAUAGUCAAAAGAUUGGCACAAGAUAAAUAUUCAGAUUUUUUCCCAUAGUAGUCUGUUUUAUUCAUACAAUUAUGAAUAUUUUUGCAUUUAGAUACAGAAGAACUUUGCCUGUUGAAUAUUAAAAACAAAUGAACAAACAAAAAAUCUGGAUCUCCAUGUCUGCCAUGUAAAUCAAUUGUUUCUGCUCAUCUCCAAACUGGAUCUCUUCUCACCACUUUCCCUAAUUGCAGAUUCAAUUAUUAGAUCUGUCAGCAUUAAUAUUUUUAUACUUAGAUUUUUUGGGGGGAUCAAACAGUAACACUGUGUCCUAACUAGACGUGACGCAAUAAAAAGUAUCUUUUCCUUUUUAGUUUUUGUCCUGACCACCCGGGACAGUGACGUGUGUCAAAAAGCGACACAGAAUUCUAUUUUAGGAAUGUUUUUUUAUUUUCUGCGACGUCGCAGCAGGAACAAGAUACAAAAUAUGACAGUUGUAAUCUCAGGAGUCUACUGCAGGAACAUCGGAUGGUUCCCCAGUCCAGGGCAAAUGUGGAGGUCAGUACCCUAGAACACAUUUAAAGGGGGUUAAGCCAGUGGAGGAAUGGAUGAGUAAGUUCUGUGCUUACCCACCAAUGGUAAGAACUUGUUCCAGUGGUUCUGUGAGCUAUGGCAAUAAGAGCAAAGGAAUGUGCCAAUUUCUUGAUUAAGUCUUUCCACUUGUUUGUUUGGUUAAGGGUGAUAUCUUGAGGUUAAACUUAUGUUGAUGUUAAGUUGUUGGCAGAAAGCUUUCCAUACUCCGGUUUGAGGUCAGAAUUGAGGUCCCUUGUCUGAGAAAAUAUCCUCAGGUAGACCAAAUAUUCUAAAUGCAUGGUUGAAGAUAGUCUCAGCAGUGUUUAUAGCACUGGGCGGCACUUUAAGAGGAACCAAUCUGCAAGCCUUAGAGAACCUGUCCAUUAUCAGCAUGAUGGUGGUGUAGCCAUUUGAGGGGGGUAGAUCAGUAAUGAAAUCUAUAUGGCAAUGUGGGACCAGGGUCUUCUGGGGAUAGAAAGGGGUUCUAGGUGCCUCACAGGGAGCUGCUGAGGAGUGUGGCUUUGUGGACAAACUUGGCAUCCUUGGACAUAAUUGGUUACAUCAGUGGUCAGGGUUGGCCACCAGAAUUGUUGUCUAACCAUGGUAUUGGUGGGGCUGAUGCUGGGGUGACCUGAAUCAGAUAAUGUGUGGAUCCACUGAAUAACUUGGAUGCCCUGGUUUUCAGGUAGAAAAAGAUACUUUGUCUGACAUUCUGUAGAAACCCAACCAGGAUGUUGGAAGUUCUUGGUGUCUGUCACGAUAUCCCACCUAACGGGUGCAAUAAUUAUAGAGGGGUUUAGAAUGUGAGAAUUUGAAAGAUUUACUUGAGCCUUUUCAUAGAUACAAGAUAAGGUGUCAGCCUGGCUGUUCUUGCUUCCAGGUUCAUAUAUCACAGAAAAGUUGUGAAGAACAGUGGCCAUUGGCGAGGAUUCAGACGUGUGGCUGUGCGGAUGUAUUAUAGGUUCUUGUGAUCAGUAGGUCCUAUAAAUGGGUACUUGGCCCCUUCUAACCAAUGUCGCCACUCUUCCAAGGUGAAUUCAAUGGAUAACAGAGUUGUAGUUGUGUAUAAAUUGCAUUGUGUUUAAAAUUGUGGCACCAGUCCACUGAUUUUACUUCACUUUUGUUGGAGGUUAUCUGAUUCAUUUUUUAGCCAAACAAACUGCUGUCCAUCCUGCAAUGGAGUUUAUACAUAAAGAUAUUAGUUCUUUGUUCUAUUGAGUUGAACGUCUUCUCACCAGAUGCAAGCUCAUCAAAAAUGGCUUUCAAUCGUUUUACCGAAGGGAAUCAUUAAACAGCAAAUAGACACCCAAUGGUCUCAUGGAUUUCACAAACAUAUAUGAGCAUUAUGAUUUUCCUUACCUUAAACAAUCAAACCAAAAAUGAAUAUUAAAUAGC
ensembl:lncRNA